rnacentral:lncRNA from 1 species
AUAAUCUUCUGUUAAAGGGGUUCAAGGAAGAGCAAACAGCAUCUGUGCUUUAAAAGGUUCAUCAGUGGAUCUGCCCUGCUCAGCUGAACAUCCACCUACAACCAUGAAAUGGUACAAAGUACAGCCAAUUGGAUCUACAUUUAAUCUGAAGAACCUCCCUGCAGAUGACAGCCAUGUUAAGUACAUGUUGGGAGAGAACAACUUCAAUCUAACAAUCAAAGAUCUGACAGAGAGAGAUGCAAAACUUUACUGCUGCAGCAGCAAAGAGGAUGCAGGAACAUCCAGACAGAGUGAGCAAGGCAUGAUUGAGCUCCAUGUUGCAGGUAUGGUGACUGUCAGUAAUGAAUUACUUUAAGUCUGAUAUAAAUAUAUGAAUUCUUACUUUUCUUCCUCAUCAUCUCAGACCUGCAGGUGAAGGUGAUUCCCUCCACAGAGGGACACACAGUAACACUGAUGUGCAGCAGCAGCUGUCCUCUGACUGAAAACCCUGCAGCCUACAUCUGGUACAAGAACAGAGAGUUUCUCUAUGAGGACUGGUCUCCCUGGUACCAACAGCUGGUCAGCAGUGAGGAAGCAGUCACAUACUCCUGUGCUAUCAAAGGCUACGAGGAUCUCAGAGCCCCUCAAGUCUCAGUGGAUUCUGUCACAUCAGCCUGCUUCAGUGUGACCUAUGCUAAAGGGAAAAUGUGUUCUUAUAAGCAGACAUCAGUGGAUGAGCCCUGCUCCAUCAUAUAUCCAACAGAAGUGCAUGUUCAAAACACUCCUGCAGCUGCACCAUUCCAUGUCAGACUGACCUGUAACACCAACUGUCCUCAGACUGAUCUUCAGACUGCCUUGAGAGUGUACAAGAGCAGUAACUCAGAGGGACAGAAUGAGGUAAUAAAGAAUGUAGUUCCCAUCUCAUCUCCUGAAAGCUUCUCCUGUGCCGUAAAAGGCCUCAAACAUCUACACUCUGCUGCAGUCUGUGAGUAUAAACCAAACAUGGUCUGUUGUAACUUAUAG